rnacentral:lncRNA from 1 species
AAAAAGAUUGUUCAUAGAGAAGAUGAAUAGUGUUGGGUGUGUUUGAAUGAUAUUGUUCCGAGCUUCUAAUGGAAUGACUAGAUUCUAUAACGCGUUCAACGGAUAAAUUAGAGGUAAAAUUCAAGGAUUGACCUUCAAAUAGUAAAAUAAGAAAAUUUUGCGAAACUUGAGAAAUUGGUCCUAAGUGUUGGUCACUUAGUUGGUUUGAGUGGUAUGGUUGCGGCAUAUUGUUGAGGUACGUGAGCUCGUAUAUGUAGGUUAUGAAGUGUUGACGUCAUUGAGCUUUUGCGGUAAGGUUUGGAAUGCGACUGGAGGUAAGUUGAUUAAAAUUUAGUCUUCUUGAGGGACCUUCUCUAAAAGUAUGUUUCAAGUUAAUACUUAAGUUGUUUAUGAAUGUGAUUUCAUGCUUGUGGGGAUAAACAAGUACAGAUGUCUCCAUGUACUAAAAUAUUAUGUUGCAUAUGUAGUGUC